rnacentral:lncRNA from 1 species
CCUGCAUCAACCAACAUCUGUCUCUUCUUCCAAGACAAGGCUUUGGAGAGGCACUGAAUUCCAGAACCACAUCUCAAGCGAAUCCUCACUCUUGCUUCUCCUGUGGACAGCACUUGACAGUUUGAACACAUUCAAAGGCCUUUUAAGAAUGUUAUGAUCUACAUGUCACUCCCAGCAUGUCACCAAAGCCCUGAGGCAGGAUUGGGUCUGGAACCUGAAUAUUGAGAGCCUCUUGCACAUCGUAGAGGCUCCCCCAUCCCUGGCAGUUUUGUAGGUCUGUGACACUCCCUAAAAAGUCCCAUGACUCUUUUGCUCUGUUUCCCUCCCUUCAAUCCUUAGGAUCCCAUUCAUCCAUGGUGCUAAGCCCUGUUCAAAUGGGUCUCCCAUCUCCCCAAGGCUUCCCUCAGAUCACAGGACCCUGAGGCCUCUGUGGCUGCUUGAGAUGACCUAACCUGCCCAGGUGGCCCUGCCUUUCUGGGGGCAAGGCUCUCAAAAGGGACUAGCCAUGUCCGUUGUUUCUUUGAUCUGGAGGGAGGACAUAUCACUAAGUUUUGGUAUCUAAUCCUCAGCUCACCUGGGAAGGACACUCAGGCCCUGCCAAUGAGACCAGAGGCAGGACCCACUAUACAAUUUGCAGGGCCCAUCACAAAAUGCAAACAUGGGUCUCCUUGUUCAAAAAUGAAGAAUUACAGUGACAUCAGAAUAUUACGCCAAGUGCCAGACCUUUCUGUUUCUGAGCAUAGGCCUAAUGCAGUUGCAGAGGCUGCAUGUCCAUGACUGGAAAAGACAGACCUGCCUUUAGGGGCUUCUAGGGUUUUUUUCCAGGGAGUGAGACAGGAUGGGUGAAAGAAGUCUUUCCACAAGGGCCAUCUAUAAGACCUCUCGGACACAAAACCUUUUUCAUACUCCUCAUCUCCCAGGGUCUUCAGCAGGCCUGUGAGAUGAGCCAAGAGGUGUUACGACUCCAUCUGAUCUCUGAGGAAACCAAGGCCCAGAAAGGUGAUGUCUUGCCCAAGGCCUUUUGAGGACCUGACCAUUGCGGCAGACAGGCAGGGUGUGGGGCUAAGACAGGCUGAGGGGACUUUUGUUGUGCCAGCUACAAUCUUCCCAGAAGCCUCUGGGGCUCCAUAGCUAAGCCUACAUUGCCUCCACCCCCACCCAGGCCUGCUCAAGUCCAGCUCUAUCCGGCCCACAGCAUGGAGUCCGCAGGCCAAGAUGGGGCGGCCAAGGUAAACAGAGAGGUUUCCUUACCUCGCAGCUGCUCACCCAGGAGGGAAUUCCAGGGCAAGCCCUGGCACACUCCUCUCUGGCAGCUGCCAAAAUGCCCGUGGGUUCCUCUGCCCCUCCAGAGACCAGGACUUCAUGCUCCCCAGGCCCCCCAUCCUCCACCCCUCACAGUGGAGGGAGAGACCAUGUUGGAGCUGUGUUAGGAGAAAUGGGGGAGAAACUCAGACACAGGGAAGAGAAAGGAAGACACGUGUCCAUGAAGACCUGGCUUGGGUGUCUGUCACAUCUUUUCUCAUUAUAGGGCCCAAAAGUUCACCUGUGAUAUGUCCAUACAACAGAGUACUCCUCAGCAACAAAAGGAAACAAAUUACUGAUAGAUUUAACAACAGGAAGGAAACUUAAA